UCCCGCAGUGAGGGGCCGGCGCGGAGGUGCUCCCCGCGAGGCCCUGGUGCGCGGGGCCCGGGACGCGCGCGCUCGGCACCUUCUCGCGUGCGAGCGCCGCCUCGGGUUGGGUGCUCAGUCAGGGAGGGUGCUCUGUGUGAAAGGAGCGGUGCCUUCCGCGGACCAGCAGGUCCCGCUCGGUCUCCCGGCGGCAGCAGGGUCCUGGAAGCUGGGCUCCAGGCGACCUGGGUGCCGCGUUGAGUGCCAGCGAGGAGCAGUUUGUCUCCGCCUUCGGCCGAGAUGAGAGGAGACUCGUCGUGACCUUGCAGACUUGCAGCUUAGUUUUUCAUGAUCACCAAAUCAAAGAGAGACUUGAAAGUACAAAAUUCCCCAAAGAAAGGCACCUGCAGCCCACUGCCACAGAGCUGUGGCUGACAUUUUGAUUGGCAUCUUUCAAGUCUUCCAUUCUCAUGAUUUUUCUGUGCAAUAAAUGAAUUUUUUCUUUCAUAAAAUUAUAUUGCACAGUGCUUUACUAGCCUACUGUUUAUACCUCUUUACUAGCCUACUGUUUAUACCUCUUUACUAGCCUAUUGUUUAUACCUCUUUACUAGCCUACUGUUUAUACCUCUAUUCUGUAGUUUUUUCUGUCUAAUCCAAAGAUAUGAAUGGUUUUAAAAUAUUCUAUUUUUGUUGAUUUUUUUUAUCUUUGUUUCAUCUUUGUUGAUUUUUUUUUUUCAUUUUCAAUAGAGUCUUUAUGUCUCCAACAGGAAAUCGUCUAAAGUUUAUUGGUAACACUAGUGAUGUGUAAACUGUAAUAUAAAUGUCACGGCUUCUUUUGAUGUGGUGGGCAGCAAAAUACCAGCAGCCCUCUUUCAAUUUGGGAAAUGCUCUGGGCAACCUCUGAUUUGGAUGCAGACAGGUAGAGCAUAGUUGGCCACUCACAACCUGUCUUUGGCCCACCCCUGCCGUAGCGCGUCACACCUCAAGUCCUAAGAUCACUGUGUAUGUCUAAAUCAAGUGACAUAAUGCAGUGACAAGAGUGAGUGCCUGUGAAAUACAAGUAUGUCAGCCACAAGUGCUGCUCAUUGGAAACCUCAGGUCAAACUUUAACUGUGUCUUUCCAGUGGUAGUUGGAAUGCUCAGUGGGAGUAUUACUUCUGGCCUCUUUAUCUGCUAUGAAAUAUUACCUGGAUUGGAUGUGUAGAAUUGGACCAGAUCUGAGGGCAGUGUAAACAAGGAGUUGAUGAUAUGUAUGGCCAUGCUUCUUGUCUGAUUUUGAAUACUUCCCAGUCAGCUGCUGUCCAUUAUGUGACUUGAGUUGGUUUUCCAUUACAAAACAACCAACCACAAACACAGUGGCAUAGGUGACAUCAGUCAUCUCACAGUGCCCAUGGGUCAGAAAUCCCAGGGAGUGAAGCUGGAUCACUUAUUCUACAACUCACAAGACACUGGUAUAUUGCAGAAUUUCAUUCCAUAUUGGAGGUUGUAGGGCAGCUUUACUUAUUUUGUUGUUGUUGUUCCAAUUAGCUAUACGUGACAGUAGAAUGCAUUUUGACAUAUCCUACAAAAAUGGUAUCAUACAAAACUUCUCAAUCUUCCAGUUGUACGUGAUGUAGAAGCACACCAGUCGUGUCAUCAUACAGGUACAUAGGGUAUAAUGUCCAAUUCAUUCUACUGUCUUCCUACCCCCAUAUCCCCACCCCUCCCUUCACUCUCCUCUGUCUAAUCCAAAGUACCUCUAUACUUCUAUAACCCCCAUUUUGAAUUAGCACCCACAUAUCAGAGCAAACACUCAGGCUUUGUUUUUCUGGGAUUGGCUUAUUUCCCAUAGAAUGGUAUUUUCCAGUUCCAUCCAAUUACUGGCCAAUGCCAUAAUUUCAUUCUUCUUAAAGGCUGGUUAAUAUUCCAUUGUGUAUAUAUACACCACAAUUUCUUUGUCCAUUCAUCUGUUGAAGGGCACCUAGGUUGGUUCCGUGGUUUGGAAUCAUGAAUUUAACUACUAUAAACAUGGAUGUAGCUGCGUCACUGUAAUAUUUUAAGUCUGAUUUUAAGUCUGUUGGGUAUAAACUGAGGACUGGGACAGCUGGGUCAAAUGGUGGUUCCAUUCCAGAUUUUCUGAGGAAUCUCCAUACUCCUUUCCAGAAUGGUUGCAACAAUUUGCAGUCCCACCAACAACGUAUGAGUGCACCUUUCCCCCACAUCCUUGCCAACAUUUAUUGUUGCCUGUAUUCUUGAUAAUUGCCAUUCUGACUGGAAUGUGAUGAAAUCUCAGUGUAGUUUUGAUUUGCAUUUCUCUGACUGCUAGAGAUAUUGAACAUAUGUUCAUGUAUUUGUUGAUUGAUUGUAUUUCUUCUUCUGUGAAGUAUCUGUUCCGUUCCUUUGCCCAUUUAUUGGCUGGGUCCCUUGGUCUGUGUCUGUGUGCAGUUUUUAAUUCUCUGUAUAUCCUGGAGAUUAAUGCUCUAUCUGAGGUGUGUGUGUAAAGGUUUUCUCCUGUUCUCUAGGCUCUCUUGCCACAUUAUUGAUUAUUUCCUUUGCUGAGGAGAAUCUUUUUAGUUUGAUUCUAUCCCAUUUAUUGAUUCUUGACUUUUAUUUCUUGCGCUUUAGGAGUCUUGUUAAGGAAGUCAGGUCCUAAGCCAACAUGGUGAGGAUCUGGGCCUACUUUUCCUUCUGUUAGGUGCAGGCUCUCUGUUCUAGUGCCUAAGUCUUUGAUCCACUUUGAGUUGAGUUUUGUGCAGGGUGAAAGAUAGGGGUUCGAUUUCAUUUUGCUACAUAUGGAUUUCCAGUUUUUCCAGCACCAUUUGUUGAAGAUGCUGUGUUCUCCAGUGAAUGUUUUUGGUGCCUUUUUAAAGUAUGAGAUAACUAUAUCUAUGUGGGUUUGUUUCUGUGUCUUCUAUUCUGUAUCAUUGUCUGUUUUGGUGCCAAUACCAUGCCAUUUUUUAAAAAAUAUUUAGUUUUUCAGUUGUAGUUAGACAUAGGACCUUUAUUUUAUUUAUUUAUUUUUAGGUGGUGCUGAGGAUCAAAACCAGGGCCUUGCAUGUGCUAGGCAAGUGCUCUACUGCUGGCCACAACCCCAGCCCCACCAGGCCAUUUGUGUUACUGUAGCUCUGUAGAAUAAUUUAAACUCUGCAAUUGUGAUGCUUCUUGCUUCACUUUUCUUGCUAAGGAUUGCUUUAGUUAUUGUGGGUCUCUUAUUUUUCCAAAUGAAUUUCAUGAUUGCCUUUUCUAUUUCUAUGAAGAAUGUCAGUGGGAUCUGAAUAGGGAUUGCAUUUAAUCUGUAUAACGCUUUUGUUAGUGUGGCCGUUUGGACAAUGUUAAUUCUGCCUGUCCAGGAGCGUGGGAGAUCUGUCCAUCUUCUAGGUCUUCUUCAAUUCUUUCUUUAGUGUUCUGUAGUUUUCAUUGUAGAGGUCUUUUUCCUCCUUUGUUAGAUUGAUUCCCAAGUAUUUUUUUUUUUUGAGGCUGUUGUAAAUGGGGUAGUUUUUCUAAUUUCUCUUUCAGUGGGUUUAUCACUGAUGUAUAGGAAUGAGAUUUAUUUAUGGGUGUUCAUUUCAUAUCCUUCUAUUUUGCUGAAUUUAUUCUAGAAGUUUUCUGGUGUGCUUUUUUGAAUCUUGUAUAUAUAGCAUCAUGUCAUGGGCAAAUAGUGAUAGUUUGAGUUCAUCUUUUCCUAUUCAUAUCCCUUUAAUUUCUUUCGUAUCACCCUGAUACCAAAACCAAACAAGGAUGCAUCAAAGAUAGAAAACUUCAGACCAAUAUCCCUGAUGAACAUAGAUUCAAAAAUUCUGAAUAAAAUUCUGGUAAUUUGCAUACAAAAACAUAUUAAAAAGAUAGUGCACCACGAUCAAGUGGGGUUCAUCUCAGGGAUGUAAAAGGUUGGUUCAACAUAUGGAAAUCAAUAAAUGUGACUCAUCACAUCAAUAGACUUAAAGACAAGAAUCAUAUGAUCAUCCAAUAGAUAAACAUAAAAAUAAAAAGUAAUUGACAAAAUACAUCAUGUUCAAAACCUAGAAAAACUCGGGACAGUAGGAACAUACCUCAACACUGUAAAAGCUGUCUAUGCUAAGCUGAAGCCCAACAUUAUCAUACAUGGUGAAAAAAUGAAACCAUUCUCUCUCAGAAUUGGAACAAGACAGGAUGCCCUCCUUCAUCACUUCUAUUCAACAGAGUCCUGAACACCCCAGCCAGAGCUCCACUUGUUAACCCCUUAUAGGAUGCAGACAAUUCCUUUUUUCUCAUGCUAUUCUCCUUGCCUCCUUGAUUUUUUUUUAAAAAAGUUCUUUUUUAGUUCUUGAUAGACCUUUAUUUUUUAUAUUUAAAUUUAUUUUUUAGUUUUAGGUGGACACAAUAUCUUUAUUUUUAUUUUUAUGUGGUGCUGAGGAUUGAACCCAGUGUCUCGCGCAUGCCAGGCGAGCACGAUACUACUUGAGCCACAUCCCCACGCCAGGCCUGUAUUUUUAUUUAUUUAUAUUUCGUGCUGAGAACCCACCCAGUGCCUCACACAUGCCAGGCAAGUGCACUACCACUGAGCCCCAGCACCAGCCCUGCUACCUCCUUGAUUCUGAAGUCAGCAGUGACAGGCUAUCUUCUGAAUCUCUCAAGUCUCUUCCUCAUUUUUCUGUAAAUAUUCAAAUUAUUACAUGGCCUUACAUAGCUGAUUCAUAUGAUCCUGCUCAAUUACUUUCCUAGGGAUGCUGCAGCAGUUUCUACUACCUUGGUGGCUUAAAACUGCAGGAGUUUCGGUCCUGGAGACCAGGAGUCUAACAAGGUAUCAGCAGACCCGUGCUGCCUCUGGAAGCUGUGGAAGAGGGUCUGCACUCACCUCCUUGAGUGCUGCGUGGCUCUGGGAUCCCAUCACUUUUGGAAGUGCCACUCUGAUCUCUGUUGUCUGACCUUCAUUGUUAUCUCCGUGUCCUCUCCAAUUCCCUCCCCAGUGCUGAACGUCAGUCAUUGGGUGUAAGGUCCCCCUUGAUCUGAGUUUAACUUCAUCUCAAGAUCAUCCUUAGCAGGUUACUUCCCUAAGCACUCUGUUUCCAAAUCAGGAAACUUUGCGAGAGUCUGAGUGAUCAUCAAUUUGGAAGAAUACAUUUCAUGCCACCCUACUGCCUAUAUUAAGGUCAUUGAUCAAUAAUAACCUUAAUUCCAUCUGUUAGGCCCAAUGUGACACAUUCACAGGUGUGACAUCAUGGGCCAGGAUUAGGGAAGGGGAGCUACAUUCUGCUGCCACAUAGUUUAUGACCACUCACCGACAUGCAGUUCAUACAAUUGGAAUUUUUAAUCACACUUUUUGAGUGGCCUAUGUAGGAGGCACUGUUCUUAGCAAUGGAAAUGUGAAUUGUAUAGAUAAGUCCCAUCAAGAAAUAAAUACCCAAUAAUUACAAAGGUUUGUGAAAUGUGUUUUGAAGACAAAGAAGUAAUAAAGAAAGGUGUUGGGAGGUGGUCUUAGCAAGUGUCAUAGAGUACAGGCCCCUGUGGAGUAAAGAGGCGUCCACCGUGAGGCUCGGAGCAGCCAGUGCACAGGGCUCAGCGAGGCUUCCCAGCGUCCAUCCAGAAACACUCAGCGCAGAGGUGAGUGUUGAGAUCCAGGGUCUGAAUCAGGAAGGCUAAAGUUAAGUUUGGAGGGCCCAGUGAGGAGUUCUGAUGUCAUUGAAAGAUUUUCAGCAGGAAGGGACACUACUGGGUUCAUGCUCUGGUACUGAGUGGCCAGUGGUUGGCCAGUAGAGCACAGGCAGAUGCAGGGAGGCACCCAGGAGGACUGGCUGUGCAGAGAGAUGGUGACUGUGGCCCUUGGCCCUCCUGCCUUGACAUGACCCUUUAAAGCAUGCAAGGCUCUCUGCGUGAAGACAGUCCUGCCCACACUGCACCUUCCAACUGACUGUCUCUCUCUCCUGUUUCCAGGUCAAAACUCACUCUGUGACCCCCUGAGGCUGAUCUCACCUCCCUCCUGAGGCCAUCUUGCCACAGUGCUCCUGGCCACCUCCUGCAGGGGCACUCCUGAGCACAGACGUUCCUGCCGACUCUGAUCUGCAGAGCUGCUGUCCACCUGCAGAGAGCCCCUCACCACAGGUGAGCUGCGAGCUGGCACAGAGCUUUGAAGGAGGGGCCAGCACCCAGACAGGGGCUAGGCUCCCUGGAGCGAGGCAAGGGCAGGGUUCUGGUGGACAUGCUCUCUGCUGUUAAACAACUGUGUGUAUGUCUCCACGUGUGAGACUGCAUUACUGUGAAGUCCGUGGUGUGUCUGUGGUGCGUGUGGUGUGUACGCUGUGUAUGUGCCGUGUGCAUGUGUGCAUGGUAUAUAAUGUGUGUGUGUGUGUCCGUGUGCUGGGUGUGUAUAAUAUUGCAUGUGGCGUGUGUAACACGGUAUGUCGUAUGUAACAUGGAGUGUGGAAUGUGGUGUCCAACUGGCAUGUGUGGUGUGGAACAUGGUGUAUGGUGUACACAUAUUAUGGCAUGCGGUGUGCAGCAUGCAUAUGGUGUGUUACAGAGUGUGUUCAGUAACAUGACGGGCGGUGUGUAACAUGACAUAUGGUGCACAUGUGUCAUGGCGUGUGGUGUGCAGAAUGUAUGUGGUGUGUAAUAUGGCAUGUGGUGUGAAGUGUGGCUUAUGGGGUGCACCCGGUAGUGUGUGGUGUACAGCGUGGCCUGUGGGGUAUAAUAUGUCGUGUGGUGUGCAGCAUGGCCUGUGGGGUACGGCAUGGUCUGUGGGGUGCAGCGUGGUCUGUGGGGUACAGCGUGGCCUGUGGAGUACAGCAUGUGGCCUGUGGCGUGCAGCAGGUGGCCUGUGGCAUGCAGCAUGGCCUGUGGUGUGCAGCGUGGCCUGUGGGGUGCAGUGUGGCCUGUGGUGUGCAACGUGACCUGUGGUGUGUAGCGUGAUCUGUGGAAUGCAGUGUGUGGCCUGUGGUGUGCAGCGUGGCCUGUGGGGUGCAGCGUGGUCUGUGGGGUGCAGCAUGUGGCAUGUGGUAUGCAGUGUGACCUGUGGGGUGCAGUAGGUGGUGUGUGGUGUGCAGUGUGGCCUGUGGGGUACAGUAGGUAGUGUGUGGAUGCAGCGUGGUCUUUGGGGUACAGUGUGGCCUGUGGUGUGCAGCAGGUGGCCUGUGGCAUGCAGCGUGGUCUGUGGGGUGCAGUGUGUGGCCUGUGGUGUGCAGCAUGGUCUGUGGGGUGCAGUGUGUGGCCUGUGGCGUGCAGCGUGGUCUGUGGUGUGCAGCAUGUGCCUGUGGGGUGUCCUGCUGCCCCAUGCUGGACUUGGCCAUCAAAAGUGACCCUGGGCCACCCUGCAUGGCAGCAAGGGCCCGGGGUCUACCUUUCUGCCUGCGCAUCCGGGGCCCAGGUUCCCAGGUGCCUGGGAAGUCCCCGUCGACGCCAGCUGUGCUGGUGAAAUGUCUCCCUGCAUCAGUGACAAGCCUCUGUCCCCUGGCUUCCGCCCACCGAGACUCUGGUCUGAGGUGGGAAGCAGCAGCUCACGGACUGGGCACCUCCAUCCAAGAACUCAUGACUGCAGAUGCCAGGGGGACUCCUGUGGGCCAGCCGCACCUCCAGGAGCAGGUCCUCAGGAGCACAGUAUGGCUGCAGGCAGGCCGCCUCCCUCACAGAGAGCACGGACCACAGCCAGCCCGGCCACAGCGUGGCACUCACGGCUUUGCCCAGGGCAUCGGGGGCUUUCCGAGGCACCACAGGACAAUUUUAUGGGAGGAGGAGGUGUCUAGAGCCAGUGAUGAGCCCUGCCAGCCCUGAGCCACACAGCAGCACCUGCAGAGUGCAGGCUCCGCGGGUCCAGGGUCCAGGCUCCCUCCACGGCCAGCCCUCCCUCGGCUCCUGGGCACACUGUUCCUCAGCCCAGAGGAUGGACGGCAGCUCCCGCAGGAUGGCUGCUGAGAAGGCGCUCCUGCACAGAGAGGUGCUGGGGGUGGGGCACCCAGCACCUUCCAGCCAGGACUCUGGCCCCAGACCCGUGGGUCCUUCGUGGCCUGAGGAGCCCUUCACUGCCUCCGUGGAAUGGCCUCUGUGAGUCUCCCCGGUCAUCAGGCAGGACCAAGUCCAUCCAGGUGGGACAAGCCUGGCCCCGUGGAUUCACCCCAGAGCCACUCUAGCUGGGGCCAGAUGAGAGCCCAGCGCUGGGUACGCUGACGCUGGCCUGUGGUGGUGACGUGAAUGACUGACAGGUUGCGGCCCAUGCCCACGGCCAGCCCCAGCCGCCUGCUGCUGUGGGGCCACCUGUCGUGAGGACCUGACCCAUCCACUCCUGGAGAGGCAGGCAGAACAGUGCCUGGAGGACCAGCAGCUGCGCUCCAGGCAGGGCCUGUAGCUGGUGGAGUCUGGAGCUGUGGGCUUGCCCAAAGGCCUUCCUUUGAAGGGCCUGCUGCGUGGUGGACAGACGGCUUCCCAUUGUCCUUCAGCAUGGCGCACACCUGUGCCAGGGUGUUGGUGGAACAGGGCUGGAGAGGUCCUGUGGGUGAGCAGGCAGCCCUUCCUGCAGGUCUGGGAGCAGAGCACCCUCCAGCUCCGUGGGAGCAGCUCAGGCCUUAGCCACCGUCCUGUGGAGUGGCCACCUGGCUGUGCAGCUGACCCCAGGCACUGGUGCAGUUGGAUACGCUGAUUCCCGUGCAGGGCACUGGCCAUCCUCCUGGCUUUGAGGGCUGCUCUGUUAUGUGACCAGCAGGCUACCUUGCCUUGUCCAUAUCAGGGCGAAUUCCCGUGGGGACAUAAUGGGAAGUAAAGUGGUUUCAUUUGACGUUGGA